rnacentral:tRNA from 1 species
GGUAGUAUGGCUGAGUAAGCGGUAGGUUGUAAACCUACACACAAGGUUAAACUUUGCUAUCA